rnacentral:lncRNA from 1 species
UGUGCAGCUCUACAGCUAAUUUGAAACUCAUGUUCAUUUUAACAUAUUUCAUUUUAGACACCUACAAAGACGCCAUCAGGCUAAUGAAUCAAUAUCAGACCGGCUGCAACGCCUCUGAGCUACAGUCUGAGGCAGAGCAGGAGGGAUAGCUGCCAGAGAAAUGAUUCAGGAAGCCAAUCCAUCGUUUUGGGGACUCUGAUGAGAGUGAAGAAGAGCCAGAAAAUUCAGCUGGUGUUUCAGUUGGAGCCUCAAGCCCAAACCAAUUACACUGGCAGAGUAAGGAAUAAUCUCUUAACAUCAAAAUAACAAAAUCAUAAUAUUAAUAAUAUAGAUAUGGUUUACCUUGUUAGUGCUAAAGAUAUUCCCCUCUCCUUGUAUCCAUUCCUCCAGCUCCACCAUCUCACUGAGUGCCAUGCAGCAGAGUCACUACUCCUCAACCUGGAGGAAACUGUCUAGGUAAAGGGGCCCCGUCUAGAUUAAUUGUUUUUCACUGGCAAUCCAUUCAUGGGGUUGAAAUAGGUAGUUCAUACCAAAAUGUUGAAACAUACAAAUUCAUGUUCCCCAUGACCAGAGAUUUUUUGUUUGCCAUUGUUUGGCCCUGUAGCUCGCAGCAUACCAUUGGUUAACAGAUCACAACCAUUUAAUAGCAAUUUCUCUCCCUUAGCACCUGACCAUGGGGCCGGACCCCAACACCCUUCACCACCUCAACUCCCUGCACCUGUAUUUAACAUGAGGAGAGUUACUCAAGGUAGGGACUGAUUUCUGAAAUAUUAGUGAAUUGGAAGGCCCCAAAGUGUAUUAUAAGUCAUGGUUAACAGAUGACUACCAUUUAAUUAAAAAUAAUUCCCAUUCUCUCACACCACCCAACUCACUAUGGGCCAGGAACGGUAGUCCCUCCUCACCUCCCUCCACCUCCCGCACCGGCCCUCAACAUGAGGCGAACAGAGGAGCCCUCUUCAAGCCUGGCCUACAGACCAACAUGGCGAGGGGGAGGAAUGACCGAGACCAUUCCCUGCUCUGCUAUAUUUCAUGUGUCAACAGUGGCUGAGGUCCACAUCCUUAGCCUGCUGGAGACCAUUAAACAACAACAAGACCAGCUUGUGGCAAAGGUGAACUACCUCAGCAGCAGGCUGAACAGCAACCCGGGGCCAGGUGUUGAGAUGCCGGACAAUAUCCAGUUUCCCCUGGAACAAGUGGAGGCAUUUGAAAUGUUUUUAAAGGAACCGUCAAAUGGCCCAGCUCGUCAGAGCGUGGUGCUGUGAGGAAAAACACAGUGACACGGUCAGCCACGGACGCAGAGGUCACCAAGCACGCAAUCAGGUGGUUCAACCUGGCAGCGGAUCGGGCAACGAGGAGACGUGUCCCGCCUCAAGCCACACAAACGGAGUAAUAGGAGAAAUAAGCAAUAA